UCUGGCGGGGGUGGCCAGGAGGGUGGCAGGAGCGGAGCAGCCGGUUCACCAUGGAAUAUGAAGCCAAGAAAGGCAAGAAGGGCUUUGUGUCCCCCAUCAAAAGGCUGGUGUUUCCGAAGGCUGCACGACAGGCUGCCUUCAGGAGCAGUGUCAGUCGCAGGCCCCUGCAUUCUACGCCCCUCUAUCCUCCUGACUACCUCAUCAACCCCCACAUCCUGCUGUGUGACUACCUGGAGAAAGAGGUCAAGUUUCUGGGCCACCUCACCUGGGUGACUUCCUCACUGAACCCCUCCAGCCGAGACGAGCUCCUGGAGCUACUGGACACCGCCAGGCAGUUGAAGGAGCUGCCUCUGAAGACCACGCCGGAGCAGGACAGCAUCCUGAGCCUGUCGGCCCGCUGCCUGCUGCUCACCUGGAGGGACAACGAGGAGCUCAUCCUGCGCAUCCCCACGCACGAGAUCGCUGCUGCCUCCUACCUGCAGGACGACGCGCUGCAUCUACUAGUGCUUAAAACUGGUCUGGGCGUGGACCCGGUGCCGGCGGGCGUGGACUCCAGCCCAGGAGGUUCGGGGCGCGAUCCCGGCCCUCCGGGCGCUGCGCCCGAAAAGCGGCGGGUGGGCACGGCCGAGCGACGCCACACCAUCUGCAGCUUGGACUGGCGCAUGGCGUGGGGCGGGGGCGCGGGCGCCGAGGCCCGGGCGGCUGGCGGUGGUGGCAGCCUGGAGCGGCAGCGCGCGGGAGCGCGGACGUCGGGCAGCUGGGAGCGGCGACAGACGUUCAGCGGCAGCUGGGAGCGGCGGCAUGCGGGGGGCGGCGCGGGCAAGCCAGGCGGCAGCUGGGAGCGGCGGCAGGCGGGUAGCGGCGUCGGCGGCAGCUGGGAGCGACGCCACACCGGCCCCAACCCCCUGGAUCCCCAGAACCCCAGCCCCGAUGCCUACUGCAAUCUGGUCAUCCUAGCUGUGGCCAACAGGGAUGCUGCUGAGGAGUCCUGUGCACUCAUCUGUCAAGUCUUCCAGAUCAUCUAUGGGGACCAGAGCAUCGAGUGUGUAGACCGGGCCGGCUACCACUACAGAUCCACACCAAAGCGGCCUUGGCUCUCCAGCUGCAGUGAGAGUUGCCGCACGGAUGGGACAUUUGCCUACGACGCCGACUUGAGCUGCUGCAGCUCCUUCAAUGGCUCCCAGGACACGUUUGAAGCAUGUUACAGCGGUACGUCCACGCCGUCUUUGCAUGGCUCCCACUGCAGCGGUAUCGACCAUAGCAGCUGGGCCUUCGAGCAGCUACAGGACUACAUGGUCACGCUGCGAAGUAAGCUGGGUCCCCCUGAGAUCCAGCAGUUUGCAAUGCUGCUGCGCGACUAUCGCCUGGGGCUGCCUAUCCAGGACUACUGUGCAGGCCUGCAGAAACUCUACGGGGACCGACGGAAGUUCCUUCUCAUUGGGAUGCGGCCCUUUAUUCCGGACCAGGACAUUGGCUACUUCGAGAGCUUCCUGGAGAGUGUGGGCAUCCGCGAGGGUGGCAUCCUCACUGACAGCUUCGGCCGCAUCAAGCGCAGCAUGAGCUCCACAUCCGCCUCUGCCGUGCGCAGCUACGACGGGGCGGUCCAGCGACCUGAGGCUCAGACCUUCCACCAGUUGCUGGACGACAUUACACACGACAUCGAGGCUCUAGCCCCUGACGAUGACGUCUAUGAGGAUGUCUCCCCAAGCGGCGGCGACCAGGGUGAAGACAACUACCUGUAGCCCCGCUGCCCACCUUGAGUCGCGCAUACUUGCUCAGGGGACACCAUCCUCCUGAGACCGUCUCCUCAUCACUGCUUCAUAAGGCUCUCCUGCUGUUCUUCAUUCCUCCCUGUCUCCAUUCUUCUCCACACCACAAACCCCAGCCCCGCAUGUCAAAACUCCAUCCCUGUCCAUAAAACACAACGCUGGCCUGGGAAGAUCAUGCCGUGAGUAAAAUUCCUACCGAGAAAGUAUGAUGGCCCGAUUUCAGAUCCCCAGCACCCAUGUGAAAAGCCGGCAUAAUCACGUCUUUAACCCUAGCUGGGGCCAGGAGUACAGAGUGGCCAGCUAAUCGGUAAGUAUGGGUGAGAGACCCUCAAUUUGUAACGUACUUAUUGCAGAAGCCUGGCCACCCAAAUUCAAGCCCCAAAACCUAUAUAAAGGUGGGAGGAAGAAACCGGCUGUGCAAAGUUGUCGUCUGACCUCCACGCAUGCGUACUGUGGUGUUCUCACUCUACGCAUGCGUACUGUGGUGUUCUCAUGAGCACACAGGCAUCAUCACCAUCACCCUACACGUACACAGACACUAAUAAUAAUAAUUUCUGAUUAAAAAAGAGAGACCCUUUCUUAAGGUAAGGUGAGGAGAGAACGAAGAAGACAUUCAACACUGACACAUGCAUGCAAACCCAGACAUGUACACUCAUAUACACUGUGCAAUGCUGUAUGCACAUGAAUACAGCGUAAGUGACAGUGGAAUGAGUUCUCGUUCUUCGGCUGAAUGAGUUCUCAUUCUUCGGCUUCCUUUCGUAAGUUUGUUGUUUUGCCAUUUGGGUUGGAUGGUCAGUGGUGUGGUAUUUGUUUUUUUUUUAAAGAUUUAUUUAUUUAUUAUGUAUACAGUGUUCAGACUGCAUGUCUGCAGGCCAGAAGAGGGCACCGGAUCUCAUUACAGAUGGUUGUGAGUCACCAUGUGGUUGCUGGGAAUUGAACUCAGGACCUCUGGAAGAGCAGCCAGUGCUCUUGACCUCUGAGCCAUCUCUCCAUCCCUGUUCUUGUUUUCUGAUGAGAGCUUGUUGUGUAUCCAAGGCUGCAACCAACUCAAGAUCUUCCUGCCUCAGCUACUUGAGUGAUUGGAUAACAGGUGUGUGGCACCAGGCCUAGCUCACUCUGUAAUGUUUUUUAAGAUCCAGACAUAUUUUUGUGGGAAAAUAUAGUUUAUUGCAUUUAACAUCUACCAGAUAUUCCAAGCAUUCCCUCUGUUUCUCCAUCCCCCUGAUGAUGGGCACCCAGUUUGCUUUCAACCCUCUCGUACCACAAGGACUGCUAUGGUGAACAUCUUUGUAGUUGGUCCUUGUGGUCCCAUGUGAAGAUUCUGUUGAGCUCUGCCAGAAGUGGAAUUAGUGGAUCCCAGACAUAUGUGUUUAAAUUUCACAAAACCCCUUCAGAAUGGCCUAUCCACAGCUUUCAAACAAUGCCGUUGCCUUGUUCAUUCGUCCUUUUUAAAAAAUGCUUGACUAUAGUUGUUGUCCUUCAGUUUGGAUGUAGCAACUAAGCAGGACUCGGCCUCAAAAUGAAAAAGCCUAAGGAAUACUGGGAUGUAGCUUGAUAGUAGAGUGCUUGCCUAGUAUGUAUGUGGCUCUAAACUCAAUUCCCAGUAACACAUGCACCAGACAAAUAUACAUAUAGCAUGCAUUCUUGCAUUUCUGUGUUAAACCUGAGAAAUGUCGUUGGUGUUGGGGAUAGUGCCUCAUGUAACCCAAGCUGGCUUCAAACUUCUGAUCCUCCUAAGUUUCUAGGAUGUGCACUGCUGCUUGCCUGGCUCGCAUCAAGAUGCGAUGGGGAGCAUCAAGAAUGCCAGGUGAGCACUUGCCCAACUAAGCUCCGUCCCUAGCCUCAUCCUGAGAUUUGGAGCUUCCUUCUGUACAUAGUGGACACUGGGCUUUCCCCGCUGUGAGCUGCUCCUUUAUUGUUUGCUCACUUCCAUUGGGCUCCCCGUGUUUUUUAUAUUCAUUUGCAAGAAUAACAUUCAAGUUUUAGAUAUCACUCUGGUGUUGGAUGUUGGUGUUCCACAUAUCUUUUUCCAAUAUGUUGCCCAUCUGUUAAGUUUCUCUGUAGCAUUGAUUGACUAACUUCAACACACUCUGGAGCCUCCAGGAAGGUUUGCUAGAACAGAAUGUUGAGCUGCAUACCCAGAGUUCUUGAUUCAGUAGUAUAGAGGUGGAACCGGAAGUUUACACUGCCAACAUGAAGUCUAGUGAUGCUAAUGAUCCAAACUCAUGGACAGCAGCUAGUUCAUGAUGCUGCUGUUGAACAAAUGUGCUCUAUUGGCCAAGCGUUGGUGGUGCAUGCCCUUAAUCCCAGCACUCAUGAGGCAGAGGCAGGCGGAUCUCUGUGAGUUCGAGGCCAGCCUGGUCUACAGAGCAAGUUCCAGGACAGCCUCCAAAACAAUACAGAGAAACCCUGUCUCGAAAAACAAAAAAAAUAGUGCUCUUUAAUUCUGAUGUUGCCAGGUGUCUCUCCCUAGCCUGUGAGAGAGCAGCCUGGAGAUCAAGGAAGAGACGUCAAGAAGCCAUGUUGCACAGUGAACUGCACUAUGGACUUAACAACAGAGUUCAUCUUUUCAGCAUCCCUCCUGCCUUGCCUCCUACCCUAAGGAAGGUGGCAAUGCUAUGUCACACUGGGAUCUGAGGCCCUAGGAGUCUGAGGAAGUUACUGAGGGAGGUAGCCUCUCUUGAAGGCCUUGGGCUUUUAAGAACUUAGAUUUUGCCCAUAGUCCUAGCCAGGGUACCAUGGCAACACUGUGAGAGGCACUAGAAUGGUUCUUACCCCAUAUCCCUGAGGAUGGUGCAACUUCCCUCACAGGCAAGCAAGUUCAUGUGACCACUGCUGUCAGAGGCCCUAGGGGGCAGUCUAAGCAAUGAGCCUAGGAACUCUGGCCACACUUCCUCCUGUGACACACAGACACCCUGCCAGGGUCACUUCCAACCAUGGUUCAGUUCCUGGCAUUGAAAGAGGGGGAAAUCCCCUAGGGUAUUUGGGAGCCUGGCUGGCUCCCAAAGACCACUGGGGAUCAUGCAAGUGUGGGACAUCAUCACCAGCUGGCUCCUCUGGCGACUUUGCUCUUAGUGGUUCCAGUGUCACUUGGUAGACUCUGAGCAAUGAUAUGCAGACAAUGAUGUCCAGAACUAGUCCACAACUCAUGAAGCCAUUUCCUACGGUGAUCUACAGUGCAUUGUCCAGCGUGUUGUCAGCACUUGCAUUGCAUUGGAAAUACCUCCGUGUCAGCACAGAGAGAGCCUUAUUGAAGGUUGCAUGGUGUUCCCUUUUCUUCAGAACCUACAGUUUGUCUAGCCAAUCCCCCGUCAUUCGGUGUGUUUUAACCUCCUGUCAGUAGCGUGUCCAUUCACAUCCACGUGUAUGGAUAUGAGUAAAGAUGAAUAGGCUUCUAGGCAAGGAGCUGCAUUGAAAUUCUGGCAUCAGUGCCUAAUCCUCAUAGCCUCAAAAUCAGUCAUCAAACAUUCUGAACAUUGCCAAUCACACAGCUGACAAAUGGUUUCCCAGUGUUGUAUCGAUUUUGACCUCUUUCUUCAUGAAUGAGGUUGACUGCCUCAUCAGAAACAUCAGGGUCACUGGUAUUUUGUUUUCUGCAGACUGUGUGGAAAACACCUCCUGCUUUUCUACUAGAGCCUUACAUAGUUGCGGAUCUCUUUAUUCAUUAAAGGCUCUAUCCCAUUGUCUAUAUGAUGAACUUGAGAAAUUGUCUUUUGAAACAGGUGUGGGCUUUGGGGUUCCCUAUGCUCAGGAUACCACCCAGUGUCUCAGUUGACUUUCUGUUGCCUGCAAGAUGUAGGACUCCCAGUUACUACUCCAGCACCACAUCUGCCUGCAUGCCGCCAUGCUCACCACAUCUGCCUGUACACCGCUACAACUCCCUGUCUUGAUGAUAAUGGACUGAGCCUCUGAAACUGUAAGCGAGCCCCCACCAUUAAAUGUUUUCCUUAUAAGA